GGCUGAGCUGGGGACAGGAUGUUGGUUUCUUGGCACCCAGUCCAGAAAGUAAUUCUGCGCAAGAUAGGAAAUUUAUGAACUGAUUUGAGACAAGGCUGACAUUUGAACUUGGCCUCGAGCAGGCCCAUUUCUCUUGAGAUCUGUGCACGUUGAGUGUGGGGUUCAUUCCACUGGUCUAUUGAAGCCACUUGGCUGGUGUCGGAUCCUUCUCAGGGCUGGGGGGGGUGGGGAGACACACAUCAGUGACCAAAACAGACCGGUUCCUGCUCCUUGGUAUAAACAGAUAACAUAGGUACGUAAACAGACCCCUAGAAGGUGUAUGCAAGAGUGACUGGGGCUGGGGUGACUUUGGCUGGGGUGAUAAGGGCCGCUUCCUAGGGAGGUGACCACUGAGCCAACACCACCAGGGUUGGGUUUUGUAACAGCUUUGGAAAGGUGUUGUGGGUUGACUUGUGUCUUCUCCCCACUCCACCCCACCCCACCCCAAACUCAUAUGUUGAAAUCCUAACCCCCAGGACCACAGAAUAUGACAGUAUUUGGAAAUAACAUCUUAACAGAUGUGAUCAGUUAAAAUGAGGUCAAUAAGGUGAGCCCUGACCCAUGUGACUGGUGUCCUUAUAUAAGAAGAGGACAUUUGAACACAGAGACACGGGGAGAAGACAGCGUGUACAAGCAAGGAGAGAGGCAUCAGGAGGAACCAGCCCUGCCCACACCUUGAUCUUGGACUUCCAACCUCCAGAACUGGGAGAUAAAACAUUUCUGUUGUUUCAGCCACUCAGUCGGUGUCACUUUGUUUCAGCAGCCGGGACGCACUCAGUGCCCGGAGGCCCAGAGAUGCCUCCCAUCCCGCCCUCUGCGCACCUUCCCAGGGCCCCAGGUUGGAAUGGGAGGAGACACCCUCUCUGUCUCCUCCCCCACAACCGGAAGGAAGCUGAGAGGACCACACCUGAAGCCAGCAGAGCCCUCCUUUGGCUGGAAGGGCAGAGGGAGCCCAUUCCCCACCACGUUUUCCUCCAUGGUGUUUGGAGACCCUGAUUCACACCCUGUCUUCACACACUCCCAGGAGCCCGGAACUUUCUGGAAAUGCCGCAGAGGAUGAUGUUUUCACAAGAGGAGGACGAGGCAGCCUAUUUCAAGGGAACCUGGACUCCUCAGAGUCAGCAAUGGGGUGAGGGGGAGGCAGAGAGAAGUCCAGAAGUCAGAUUUCACCUACUUGGUACACCUGCCAGGACGGGCCUGGCGCGGUGCCGCCACAGCGAAAGCUGAGUAAAUAUUAUGACUGGAUCGCCAGAGACAAGCCAAACCAAACAAACCCCUUAAAGAUCCACCGCUGAGGGAUUGCAAAGGAAAUAGGCGAGAUCCGGGAGCCAAGGACGAGGUAACGAUACCGGCACCCAGAGGGGACAGUUACUGUAACGCAGGGUCUCCCCCGGGCACUGCAGACAUUGGGGUCCUGUCACUCUCUGUGGGGCUGUCAUGGACACUGUGGGGUGCCAAGCAGCAUCCCUGGCCCCUGCCUACUCGAUGCCAGGAAUAUUGUGACAACCAUAGAUGUCCCCAGACAUUGCUCAGUGCCCCUCCCCGGGGCAGGGGCGGGCGGGGGGCACCUGCUGCAAUGUAACUCAUUGUUGGAUACAAGAAACACAUCAUGUGUGGCACAUAGUAGGUCCUCAUUAAAUUUUUGUUGCAUGAAUAAAUAAUGACAGAUGCCUUGAGAAAUAUACACCAGGAUGUAAAUUUCUUGGGAGCAAGGAGGGUUUUUUAGCUACCGCUGUAAACCUGGCUCUUAGCAUCAUGCCAGGCUAUACAGAAGUCUUGAUAUAGCCGUGUAUUCACUAAG